GUGCUCGCUUCAGCAGCACACAGCAAAUUGGAGCAAUACAGAGUGGAUUGGCACGGCCCCUGUGCAAAGGGUGACACACAAACUCGUUAAGUGUCCCAUUUAAAA